ACGACUCUCGGCAACGGAUAUCUCGGCUCUCGCAUCGAUGAAGAACGUAGCGAAAUGCGAUACCUGGUGUGAAUUGCAGAAUCCCGCGAACCAUCGAGUCUUUGAACGCGAGUUGCGCCCGAGGCCACUCGGCCGAGGGCACGCCUGCCUGGGCGUCACGC
rnacentral:rRNA from 1 species